UACGUAGGGUGCAAGCGUUGUCCGGAAUUAUUGGGCGUAAAGAGCUCGUAGGCGGUUUGUCGCGUCUGCUGUGAAAACUCGGGGCUUAACCCCGGGCCUGCAGUGGGUACGGGCAGACUAGAGUGCGGUAGGGGAGACUGGAAUUCCUGGUGUAGCGGUGAAAUGCGCAGAUAUCAGGAAGAACACCCGUGGCGAAGGCGGCUCUCUGGUACGUGACUGACGCUGAGACGCGAAAGCGUGGGGAGCGAACAGG
rnacentral:rRNA from 1 species